rnacentral:rRNA from 1 species
GGGAAUAUUGGACAAUGGGGGCAACCCUGAUCCAGCAAUACCGCGUGUGUGAAGAAGGCCUGAGGGUUGUAAAGCACUUUCAAUUGUGAAGAAAAGUUAGCGGUUAAUAACCGUUAGCCUUGACGUUAACUUUAGAAGAAGCACCGGCUAACUCCGUGCCAGCAGCCGCGGUAAUACGGAGGGUGCAAGCGUUAAUCGGAAUUACUGGGCGUAAAGCGUGCGUAGGCGGUUUAUUAAGUCAGAUGUGAAAGCCCCGGGCUUAACCUGGGAACUGCAUUUGAAACUGGUAAACUAGAGUAUGGUAGAGGAAAGUGGAAUUUCUGGUGUAGCGGUGAAAUGCGUAGAUAUCAGAAGGAACAUCAAUGGCGAAGGCAGCUUUCUGGACCAAUACUGACGCUGAGGUACGAAAGCGUGGGUAGCAAACAGGAUUAGAUACCCUGGUAGUCCGCGCCGUAAACGAUGACAACUAGCUGUUGGGAGACUAUGUCUUUCAGUGGCGCAGCUAACGCUUUAAGUUGUCCGCCUGGGGAGUACGGCCGCAAGGCUAAAACUCAAAGGAAUUGACGGA